ensembl:lncRNA RABGAP1L-DT RABGAP1L divergent transcript
ACGUCGCUGCGUGGCCGCGGUUGCGCCGGGAGCGGAGGAGUGAGGUCCUGACAGAACCAGAGCUGUUAGAGCAGGGACGCGCGAAAGGCGGGAGUACGGGCGGCGCUGGAGAACCUCCGCGGCGGAGGGGCCUGGGGGUGGGACCGCGCCCGCGAGCCCGCCCUGACCGGGGUGCGUUCUACUGGCAGUUGCUGAGUUCGGAAGAUUAACUCUGAAUGUGGAGAGAUUAUUUUCUUGCUCGUAAACCUGGUUUACAUAUUUUCAUUCUUAAUGCUCAGUAAUCUUAAGGAAAGUCACCUGAAAGAAUACUUUUUCACCAAGUACUCUUCUGCGCCUGUUUGAAGGUGUCUGUGUGCUUGUGAAGCGCUCCCUUGUUAGUUCCUUCUGUGAGACUCGGGGGAGACUGAAGAGGGAAAUCACCUGCGGGGAAUGAACAGGAAAGCAAUAAGAAGAUUUGGAAAAGAGGCACUGGCUACUGGAGGAAGGGAGAAAUCACCGAGAGAGCGAAAGAUGUAACAGAUGCAGUGACUCAUGCCUAUAAUCCCAGUACUUUGGAAGGUCAAGGCACAAGGAUCCAUUGAGGCCAGGAGUCCAAGACCAGCCUGCACAAUGUAGCAAGACUCCUUCUCUACAAAAAAAUAAAUAAAAAUUAGCCAGGCAUGGUGGUGCACUCCUGUAGUCCCAGCUACUCAAGAGGCUGAUGUAGAGAAUCGCAUUAUCCCAGAGGUCAAGGCUGCAGUGAGCCGUGAUCAUGCCUCUGCACUCCAGCCUGGACGAUAGAGCAAGACUUUAUCUCAAAAAACAAAAAUUUAAAAAGAUAUCAGGUAGCUCAUAGAAUUGUUGAGAGGGCUGUAAAACCAGGCUUGAACUUAAACAGCAACGAUAAACCACCCACAGAACGGACAUGAUGAAGAAGUUGGCAAAUGUUACCAACUGUCCUGGUUUUUUUGGUGACUGUAGUUUCCAAGGAUUCAGAUCCUUCCAUGCCAAAAUCUGAAAAAUGCUGGGCAAAGUAUGACUGACAAUGUGGUAAUCUUACAGCUAGCACUAGAGACAUCAAGCACUAGACAACACAAUUUGCCCUUUGGCCACUUAUACAAUGGGAACUCACGCUUGCAGUAACCUCUAUUGCCACUAGGAGAGAGAAACACAGAAGGAGGAAGGGAGAAGGGAGAGAGAGGAAAAAAACUGUUGCUUGUCUCCUUAGCUGUGAGUCAAAGGUCUAACACAGAUGUCUGGCUGAAAAGCCUAGGUCACAUGCCUGCACCCCAGAGAAAGUAUGUGACAUCUUCUGCUUCCAUUAUGGGAAACAGCCUUUGCUUGUCACGAAGAUUUACAUGGUGAGACAUAUCCUAAAUAUAGGGAAGCUGUUGAAGUGGCCCAAAUAAUGACCAAUUUCUACUAAUUUGUACUAAUAUCCAAAUUACUUUUAAUUAUCUAAUAUUACUUAGAUACAGUGAGGCAACCAUUCGUUGGAUAUAUAAUGGUUUCUUUGAUUUCAAAAAUCUUUUUUUAUGUAAUAUAUGUCUGAAGACCAUCAAAAUAAAUUCUUAAAGUCAGAUUAAUAGGAUGUUACUUAUAAUAUUAUUGUAAUUAUUUGACCACAUAAUAGUUUAUGCCCAUUAUAUACUAUGUAAUUGUAUGAUGGAAAUAAUGCUGUACUUUGUUUGUAAAAGUUUAAUUAUCCUGACCUUUGUUCAUCAUAAAGAAUUGCUCCAUUUCUAUUAUUUAUCGAGGAAAAAAGUUUCUCUCUUUUUGUUUUUAAUAUGUCAUUAGGAGAAGAGUAGUUACACGUAGGCUAGAGUGUUUGCCAAGAAGAAAUUGAUUUUAAUGGGAACCUUUUAUCUAAGACAAACUUUAAGAAGAGCAGUAAUGGACAAUGUGUUCUGUGCAACUCUUCAGCCUUCAGUCUCACAUUCAUUGUGGUCAAGUAUUUUCAGCAAAGAAUAACAAGUCAGAGUUUGUGUAUAUUUUUCAUAGCUGUUCAUUCUCUUACAGAGUAACCUUGAACAAACCUCUUAAGAUUUGUGUUUUAUCUUCAUAUACUGAAAUACAAAAUGGGAAUGCCUAUAUUUAAUCAAAGAUAUAAUUUUUACUGAUAGAUAGUAAAGAACAAAACACUGGAACAAGAAUUCCUGUCCUGCCUUUCACAAUGUGGUUUUGAGGCCUUGGCCAUGUCACUUAAAUUCUCAUAUCUGUUUUCUCAAUCUAUAAAUGAUCAUAAUACCUGCACUAUCUGUCUCAAAUUGCAUAUGUGAAAGCAUCUUAAAGGUACAAAACAAUAAAUACAAAGCAUUAUUAUUAAAUUAUUACACCUUCCAGCAUUUAAUGCUAAAAAUGCCAAAUGCGUCCUUUGGUUAUAUGUAGGAAAUAUGUCUCAGAAAAAUCAAUUUAAAAUUAUAGAAGCUAACAGGUAAGUCAUUUUAAGUGUGUGGUUAUCUUCUGCAUGGCAGAUUUUUAAAUGGUAAUUAUUAAUGAAGUUUUCCUAUACUUACUGUUUCCAAGACUCCAUUCUUUCCAAAGUUUUCUGAGUUAUGCUUAUCAUCCCUUAAGUCUUAGGGAUGCUCUUCUGAGCUUUUGGGGUUUGUUUAAUUGAUAUGUCAUAGUUGUACAUAUUUUAGGAGUUCUUGUGAUAUUUUGAUACAUGUAUAUAAUGAGUAAUGAUAAAAUCAGAGUAAUUGGGAUAUCCAUCACUUCCAACAUUUGUCUUUGUGUUGGGAACAUUAAAAUUCUUCUCUUCUAGUUAUUUUGACAUAUGCAGUGAAUUAUUAUUAACUAUAAUUUCCCUACAGUACUAUCAGAUACUAAGACUUAUUUCUUCCAUCUAGCUAUAUUUUUGUACCCAUUAACCAACCUCCCUUCCUUCCCUCCCCAGUCUCUGGUAAUCACUAUUCUACUCUCUACUGAGAUUUUUUUAAACCUAAGAUAUCAAAAAUAAGCUUCCAUACAGGAGACAACAAUUAACACAGCAAAUAGAAAGUAGAAUUGUUCUAUGUAAAAUAAUUACACCCUCUUAGAGGCAUAGAAUAUGACUCUAUUUAUAAGAGGGAACAAAUGAAGAGGAGAAGAAUGUGUUGAAAGAGAUUUCCUUGACAAAUACAUCGUAUCUACUUUGUGAAAUUACCAAGUGCCUAAGGACUAGUAAAGUACUCAAAUAGCCCCUAUAAAGAGGCUUCUUUGUUUCUUUGAUCUCUGGCCCUUUAAAUAGUGUCUGGAUAAUCUCAUAUUAACUCCUGAGAGCUGUGAAUUUAUAGAUUUAAAACUACUGAUGCAGGACAGCUAUGCAAUUAAUCGAGACACCAAAAAUACAAGCAGGCAGACAAGAUGCUUAUUCUGCCAGCUCCACAAUUUGGACUCUUCAGUAGGAAAAAAUAUCUCAAGCCUACUCCUUUAAAAAAGUUCUGUUUCUCAACUUUCACUGUCUAAACCUAAAUAGAAUUCCUUUCUAUUUUUAAUCCCCUUUCAACAAAGCGAAAGCUGAAUUUACACACCAGUUUUUGUCUUUUAUCCAUCAACACUUUAGUUGAAGACAAACUACACUGCUCGUUAAUCUCAAGUGGGAUAAACCUUUCUGACUUUUUUCUCACACCUACUCAGUGUGUAUUUUUCACAAAAGUUUAGUUUAGGGUAAAUAAUCUGAAGAGGUGGUAUGCCUGAUUCUCCGGGUGACCUUGGCAAUCUCUCAGAUUCUUUUCCUAGAGAAUGUAAUAUAGUUAAUAGAUAGAGUAAUCCAGUUAUUAAAGAACUAUAUGUACUGCUGGGUGCAGUGGUUCAUGCCUAUAAUCCCAGUACUUUGGAAGGCCAAGGCGGGUGGAUCGCUUGAGCUUAGGAGUUCGAGAUCAGCCUGGGCAACAUGGUGAAACCCUGUCUCCACAAAAAAUACAAAAAUUAGCCAGGCAUGGUGGCGUACUCCUGUAAUCUCAGCUACUUGGUGGGCUGAGGCUGGAGGAUUGCUUGAACCUGGUAAGCAGAGGUUGCAGUGAUCCGAGAUUGUGUCACCACUCCAGCCUGGAUGACAGAGUGAGACCCUGUCUCGAAAAAAACAAAAACAACUAUUAUGUACUAUAAUUGAUUUUUAAAACUAUGUUAUCUGUCUUGUCCAAGAUAAGUACUCCAAAAAAACUGUUGAUUUAUCUUCAUCCAUUUAUGCUACUAUUACAGAUACCACAGACUAGGUUAUUUAUUUAUUUAUUUAUUUAUUUUUUCAAGACAGAGUCUUGCUCUGUCUCCCAGGCUGGAGUGCAGUGGGGUGAUCUCGGCUCACUGCAACCUCUACUUCCCGGGUUCAAGUGAUUCUCCUGCCUUAGCCUCCCAAGUAGCUGGGAUUACAGGUGCAAGCCUUCAUGCCCGGCUAAUUUUUGUAUUUUUAGUAGAGACGGGGUUUCACCAUGUUGGCCAUGCUGGUCUCAAACUCCUGACCUCAGAAGACCCACCUGCCCCGGCCUCUCAAAGUACUGGGAUUACAGGCGUGAGCCACAGCGCCCGGCCAGACUAGGUAAUUUAUGAACAAUAGAAAUUUAUUUCUCACAGUUCUGGAGGCUGGGAAAUCUAAGAUCAAGGCAAUGGCAGAUUUGUUGUCUGGUGAGGGUCCAGUCUCUACUUCCAAGAUGGUGCCUUGUUGCUGCAUCCUCUGGAGGGGAGGAACACUGUGUCCUCACAUGGUGGAAAGCAGAAGGGCAAAGGGACAACUGCCUCCAUCAAGCCUUUUUACAAGAGCAUCCAAUCACAGGGGAGAAGCCCUCAUGGCCCAAUCACUUCUUAAAGGCACCACAUUGACAAUACCUGAAUUUUGGAGGGCAUAUAUUCAAACCACUACAUUGUUGAUUUCUUGAUUGGGAGGUAAUGUUUUGACUCAUAGCAAGGGAAAAAGCAGAUCUCAUUUGUAAAGUGAAAUAUUCCACUCAGGAUUGUUUAUACAUUAACUGAGACUAAAAAGCAAUUUGAUUUGGUUCUUCUUAAGUCUUAUACACACAAUAUCCUACAUAUUAAUAAAAAUACAAUGCAAAUAAUGCCACAUUGUGUCCUGAAGUAUAAGAAAGAAGUAUAAGAAAUAAUCCCUGAUCUCAAUUUUACAGAGUGGUAAUGGCUUAUAACUUCUGACACAUUUAAAAGGAUUCCAUUCAAAAAACAAUUAAGUGUCUUUACCAUGUACAAGGCAUGGUAAACAAAAUAACUAUUUCGGUGUCCUAAGUAAUGCCUCUGAAAUAUUGUGAUUAUAAAUUAACUUUGUGUCUUUAUUUUUAAAAGUCAACAAAUUUUAUGAGAUAUGUUAAAAUAAAGAACAGCUCUCAAUUGUUCUUCCACCCAUCAUUUCCCUGUGUCCAAAGACAACUACAUUUACCUCUAAAUGAUUCUCUUCAUAUGUACCUCCAUACUCUAGAUAACAUGUUUGUCUUGCUAUGUCAUAUUCUUUUAGUUGUAGGCAUUCCCUAUGGUCUUUCCUCUCCACACCACAAUUAAACACAGACAUACAAAGCAGUUAUCAUUCUUAUCACAAUAUAGUGAUAUAAUUUUGGUUAGAUAAAUAUAUAGUGUUUCUAUUAUUAUGACUAUAUAUGCUUUCAGAAUGGAGCAAUAUAGUCAACUAUAAUCAUUUUCCUUUCCUAGAAAAUAUUUUGCUUUCCCUACAGCUAAUAAUUUUUGUGUGUGUUUAACUUCCUAAUUUCUAAUUCAAUCAAACUCUCUUACAGUUGUUUAAAUUCACAUAUUCUAUCAAUUUAUUUAUUUCAUCUUCCUAAAUAUUUCUGUCCCAGGGUUUAUGAAGUGCCUUAACCUUGACUUGUCACAUAGCUGUCAUCCUAGGGUCUCCCUUGAUAAACAUCUUGGAAAAUCCUUUCACUUCUCUCCUAGGACAGGGCUCCUGUUUUGAUGAUGCACACCUUUGGUAACUUCCUCAGAGAG